UGGGGAAUAUUGCACAAUGGGCGCAAGCCUGAUGCAGCCAUGCCGCGUGUGUGAAGAAGGCCUUCGGGUUGUAAAGCACUUUCAGCGAGGAGGAAGGGUAGUGUGUUAAUAGCACAUUGCAUUGACGUUACUCGCAGAAGAAGCACCGGCUAACUCCGUGCCAGCAGCCGCGGUAAUACGGAGGGUGCAAGCGUUAAUCGGAAUUACUGGGCGUAAAGCGCACGCAGGCGGUUUGUUAAGUCAGAUGUGAAAUCCCCGCGCUUAACGUGGGAACUGCAUUUGAAACUGGCAAGCUAGAGUCUUGUAGAGGGGGGUAGAAUUCCAGGUGUAGCGGUG
rnacentral:rRNA from 1 species